UACGUAGGGUGCGAGCGUUAAUCGGAAUUACUGGGCGUAAAGCGCGCGUAGGCGGCUUUGCAAGUCGGGUGUGAAAUCCCCCAAGCUUAACUUGGGAACUGCAUUCGAGACUGCAUUGCUAGAGUAUGGGAGAGGGAAGUGGAAUUUCCGGUGUAGCGGUGAAAUGCGUAGAUAUCGGAAGGAACAUCAGUGGCGAAAGCGACUUCCUGGACCAAUACUGACGCUCAUGUGCGAAAGCGUGGGGAGCAAACAGG
rnacentral:rRNA from 1 species